AAUCUGCCCUGGACUCUGGGAUAAGCGUUGGAAACGACGUCUAAUACCGGAUACGCGACGCGAAGGCAUCUUCAGCGUCGGGAAAGAACUUUGGUCCAGGAUGAGCUCGCGGCCUAUCAGCUAGUUGGUGAGGUAACGGCCCACCAAGGCGACGACGGGUAGCCGGCCUGAGAGGGUGACCGGCCACACUGGGACUGAGACACGGCCCAGACUCCUACGGGAGGCAGCAGUGGGGAAUAUUGCACAAUGGGCGCAAGCCUGAUGCAGCAACGCCGCGUGAGG
rnacentral:rRNA from 1 species